rnacentral:lncRNA from 1 species
CAUGAGUGUUCCUCCUGAAGGCAGGCGGUGGAUGCUCCUCCUGACACUGCAUGUCAUCUCUCUUCUCUCUGACAGCAGGGCCUAGAGUGAAGGAGUGACAUAUGGAAACUAAAAACAUGCAAAGGGGUUAACUGAAGAGGAGGAAGGAAAAAAAAAAGCAUGGAACUGGAAAAGACAAAGUAAAAUGAAUUUUUAGGAUACCACCGUCAUGGAGAUGGAUGAGAUAACCUGGAGAGGAACGAGAUGUGGCUGGACUAGGCUCCUUCAUCCAGCCUGAGAGGCCUCAGAGGCAGAAAUCUGAAGCUUUCAGUGCUUUUCAAGUAUGAAUUCCAGAGUUGGAGUAAAGAUUUAGGAUGGAUACCUGGCUAUGAUAGAGGAGAUCAGCAAUGUAACUUGAAGAUACGAAGCAAGCACGUGGAAAAAGUACCAGACUUCAAGGUGAGAAGAUGGGAGGCAG